AUGAACGCUAGCGACAGGCUUAACACAUGCAAGUCGAGGGGCAGCACAGGUAGCAAUACCGGGUGGCGACCGGCGCACGGGUGAGUAACGCGUAUGCAACUUACCUAUCAGAGGGGGAUAACCCGGCGAAAGUCGGACUAAUACCGCAUGAAGCAGGGGCCCCGCAUGGGGAUAUUUGCUAAAGAUUCAUCGCUGAUAGAUAGGCAUGCGUUCCAUUAGGCAGUUGGCGGGGUAACGGCCCACCAAACCGACGAUGGAUAGGGGUUCUGAGAGGAAGGUCCCCCACAUUGGUACUGAGACACGGACCAAACUCCUACGGGAGGCAGCAGUGAGGAAUAUUGGUCAAUGGCCGAGAGGCUGAACCAGCCAAGUCGCGUGAGGGAUGAAGGUUCUAUGGAUCGUAAACCUCUUUUAUAAGGGAAUAAAGUGCGGGACGUGUCCCGUUUUGUAUGUACCUUAUGAAUAAGGAUCGGCUAACUCCGUGCCAGCAGCCGCGGUAAUACGGAGGAUCCGAGCGUUAUCCGGAUUUAUUGGGUUUAAAGGGUGCGUAGGCGGCCUUUUAAGUCAGCGGUGAAAGUCUGUGGCUCAACCAUAGAAUUGCCGUUGAAACUGGGGGGCUUGAGUAUGUUUGAGGCAGGCGGAAUGCGUGGUGUAGCGGUGAAAUGCAUAGAUAUCACGCAGAACCCCGAUUGCGAAGGCAGCCUGCCAAGCCAUGACUGACGCUGAUGCACGAAAGCGUGGGGAUCAAACAGGAUUAGAUACCCUGGUAGUCCACGCAGUAAACGAUGAUCACUAGCUGUUUGCGAUACACUGUAAGCGGCACAGCGAAAGCGUUAAGUGAUCCACCUGGGGAGUACGCCGGCAACGGUGAAACUCAAAGGAAUUGACGGGGGCCCGCACAAGCGGAGGAACAUGUGGUUUAAUUCGAUGAUACGCGAGGAACCUUACCCGGGUUUGAACGCAUUCGGACCGAGGUGGAAACACCUUUUCUAGCAAUAGCCGUUUGCGAGGUGCUGCAUGGUUGUCGUCAGCUCGUGCCGUGAGGUGUCGGCUUAAGUGCCAUAACGAGCGCAACCCUUGCCACUAGUUACUAACAGGUGAUGCUGAGGACUCUGGUGGGACUGCCAGCGUAAGCUGCGAGGAAGGCGGGGAUGACGUCAAAUCAGCACGGCCCUUACAUCCGGGGCGACACACGUGUUACAAUGGCGUGGACAAAGGGAGGCCACCUGGCGACAGGGAGCGAAUCCCCAAACCACGUCUCAGUUCGGAUCGGAGUCUGCAACCCGACUCCGUGAAGCUGGAUUCGCUAGUAAUCGCGCAUCAGCCAUGGCGCGGUGAAUACGUUCCCGGGCCUUGUACACACCGCCCGUCACACCAUGAGAGUUGGGGAUACCCGAAGCCUGUGAGCCAACAGUUUACUGAGGCAGCAGUCGAAGGUAGAAUCAAUGAUUGGGGUG
rnacentral:rRNA from 1 species